UACGUAGGGUGCAAGCGUUGUCCGGAAUUAUUGGGCGUAAAGGGCGCGUAGGCGGACUAGUAAGUCGAUUGUGAAAUCCCUGGGCUUAACCCGGGAACUGCAGUCGAAACUACUAAUCUUGAAUGCUCGAGAGGAUGGUAGAAUUCCUGGUGUAGAGGUGAAAUUCGUAGAUAUCAGGAGGAAUACCGGAGGCGAAAGCGGCCAUCUGGCGAGACAUUGACGCUGAGGCACGAAAGCGUGGGGAUCAAACAGG
rnacentral:rRNA from 1 species